rnacentral:lncRNA from 1 species
GCAUAGAAAGAUAUAACAUUAUAAAAAUUGUGAAUAACAUAUAUAAAAGAUCCAGACUUAACUAUAUCAAUCAACAUAUAUAAAUGAUUUUGUAAUAAUAGCAGCAGUAAAAUGCAUGGAAUGAUGUUAUGCUUCCAUCUUGGAAAAUUUGUGUUUAAUUCCAGAUUCCAUUCCUCCAAAUUUUUUAGGAGAAAUCCUGCUCUGCUCAUUGAAUCUUAUCCUUUACCUGAACUGUUGAUUCUUACCACAGUAUGGACAGACUGUGUGAGCACAGGAAUACCCUGUUACUUAGAUUUAAUAAAAUGGAAAACAACAUAAAAUACAAAUAAAGAAAUGGUGCCCUUGCUAAUCUAUGGUGGUUAUUCAGCUAGUUUUUAUGCUUCAAUUUAAGAAUUUUUCUUGAAAUUUCUGC